rnacentral:rRNA from 1 species
GACGAACGCUGGCGGCAUGCCUAAUACAUGCAAGUCGAGCGAACAGAUGAAGUGCUUGCACUUCUGACGUUAGCGGCGAACGGGUGAGUAACACGUAAGGAAUCUACCUAUAAGCGGGGGAUAACAUUCGGAAACGGGUGCUAAUACCGCAUAAUAUCUUCUUCCGCAUGGAAGAAGAUUGAAAGACGGCUCUGCUGUCACUUAUAGAUGACCUUGCGGUGCAUUAGUUAGUUGGUGGGGUAACGGCCUACCAAGACGAUGAUGCAUAGCCGACCUGAGAGGGUGAUCGGCCACAUUGGGACUGAGACACGGCCCAA